GACGAACGCUGGCGGCGUGCUUAACACAUGCAAGUCGAGCGGUAAGGCCCUUUCGGGGGGUACACGAGCGGCGAACGGGUGAGUAACACGUGGGUGACCUGCCCUCAGCUCUGGGAUAAGCCUGGGAAACCGGGUCUAAUACCGGAUAUGACUCCAUGACGCAUGUUGUGGGGUGGAAAGCCUUGUGCGGCUGAGGAUGGGCCCGCGGCCGUAUCAGCUUGUUGGUGGGGUGAUGGCCUACCAAGGCGACGAC
rnacentral:rRNA from 1 species